GUAAAGGCGUUGACGGGGAGGAGUAGGAAGCCCGCCCUUAUAAAGAGAGGAAGGCCGCCGGCUGAAAGCCUUCUUAAGGGCGCUUUCGAAGGUCGCCCCUGAGCCGCUUCGGCGAAAGAGUAGCCGGAGCCGGUUUUACCGUUAGGUUUUCAAGAGCCCGGGUGAAAAUCCGGGAAUUAAGGUGGUACCGCGAAAGGGGCCUUUCGUCCUUAAA
rnacentral:ncRNA from 1 species